rnacentral:sRNA from 1 species
UAACCAUUUUGGCAAAAAUAAUUAGGGCAUAGAAUAAGAGCAUAUUCCUUUAAAUAAGAUUUGCUUUGAUUUUGUAGUUAAUUUUUGCAUUGAAUAAGGCAGUGGCAACCAUUGUAAAUAAGUUCCAACUCUACGAUUUAUUUCAUAAAAUGGCUGCAAAAAUGUAUAUGUAAAUAA